CCAUGCCGCGUGGAUGAUGAAGGCCUUAGGGUUGUAAAAUCCUUUCGACGGGGAAGAUAAUGACGGUACCCGUAGAAGAAAGCCCCGGCUAACUUCGUGC
rnacentral:rRNA from 1 species